GGGAAUGUGGGUCAGUGGUAGAGUGCUUGCCUUGCAUGCAUGAGGGCCUGAGUUCAAUUCCUCAGCACCA
rnacentral:tRNA from 1 species